CAAGGUUUACCACAAUCAUGUUCUUCUAAAACGUAUUCAUAUAAAGCAGUUAUUUUUUUUCUGAAAUCGAAAAUUGAGAAUUGAUUUUGACAUUUUUAAUGGAAGUUUCGUCAAUGAAUAUUUCAUAAAUAUUACAAGACAUUACUGAGAUAUAUGAAAUGGAGAAGAGGAAACAUAAAGAACUUGUUGGUGUUGUACUUUUCUUCUCUUAUCUUGCUUUAUUGCUCAUGGAGUAGCAUUUGGUUUACCAUACUGGUAUCGACAAUCCUUCAGUAGUGUUGAUGUUUAUGGUGGAUUAUGGCAAAUUUGUGACGAAAUAUCAGGAACAGCCACAUGUACGGAAAUGAAACCAUGGGACAGUGAUCUGUCGUGACUGAUGAUUGGAGUUGCUACCACAGUGUGGGCAUUAUACCAGGCGGACACAAUCAAAGAAAACAAGUCUUAUGCUUUUUGGAUCGAGUGUGGUGCUGGUGGAUUGUUCAUUUUAUCUGCAAUCCUGCUUGCACUUCCAAUUUAUGGCCCAGAGUCUUCCGUCACACCAACGACUCAACAAAAUCAUAGUUGGGCAAAAUCUUAAAUUUAAUUUUUUGUUUUAUACUUUUACUCUGUUUCUUGUGGCCGUUAAAACUAUGUUUGUUUUUAUUAGGUUUGAUUUGAUAAGUGAUAAAUACAUUAUUUAUUAUUAAAUCUGUAACUGUA